GCUGGGCGUGGUGGCGGGUGCCUGUAAUCCUAGCUACUUGGGAGGCUGAGGUAGGAGAAUUGCUUGAACCCAGGAGCUGGAGGUUGCAGUGAUCUGAGAUGGUGCCACUGUACUCCAGCCUGGGUGACAGAGCAAGACUCCGUCUCCA
rfam:Gorilla gorilla gorilla genomic chromosome, chr9, whole genome shotgun sequence